GGAACAGUACUGACGCUGAGAUGCGAAAGCGUGGGGAGCAAACAGGAUUAGAUACCCUGGUAGUCCACGCAGUAAACGAUGAAUGUUAGUCGUUGGUAUGCUAGACAUAUCAGUGAUGCAGUUAACACAUUAAACAUUCCGCCUGGGGAGUACGGUCGCAAGAUUAAAACUCAAAGGAAUAGACGGGGACCCGCACAAGUGGUGGAGCAUGUGGUUUAAUUCGAAGAUACGCGAAGAACCUUACCUAGCCUUGACAUAUUAUAGAAUUCAGUAGAGAUACAGAAGUGCCUUCGGGAGCUAUAUUACAGGUGCUGCACGGCUGUCGUCAGCUCGUGUCGUGAGAUGUUGGGUUAAGUCCCGCAACGAGCGCAACCCUCGUCACUAGUUACUAACGGUUAGGCCGAGGACUCUAGUGAGACUGCCUUCGUAAGGAGGAGGAAGGUGAGGACGACGUCAAGUCAUCAUGGCCCUUACGGCUAGGGCAACACACGUGCUACAAUGGUUAGGACAAUGAGAAGCAAUAUCGCGAGGUGGAGCAAAUCUAUAAACCUAAUCUCAGUUCGGAUUGUAGUCUGCAACUCGACUACAUGAAGCUGGAAUCACUAGUAAUCGUAGAUCAGCUAUGCUACGGUGAAUACGU
rnacentral:rRNA from 1 species